AUCAGCCUUUCGGGUGCGAUUCUGUGGAGUUUGAGGAGCUUAACACCUUCAUGCUUUGCAUAUUCGUGCUCUUGGGUGUACUUGCCCGUGUGGUUGGUUAACAUCAAUUUUGGUGGUCAUAAAAUGACUGGAGGAAUGUAGCUUCGAUCUUGUAUUGAAGUGUUAUAGCCUUCGGUAGAUGUGAUGAUCGAGAUUGAGGAUUGCAACGGAUACCCUUCGGGGCUACCUGUCUGGUCUCUGAUCGUUGCUCUGGUGCCGAAAGCUUGCUUACGGUUAUCAAAGUCGAUGGUCAAUAGGUUAGAACGGGUUAAAUUCGUUAAGGAUGUUGACGUAAUGGCUUU
rnacentral:rRNA from 1 species